CUCACUGGCAGCACAGACAAAGCCUUGCGGGCUCCACGGGAUAAUCAACAGCGAGAACGCCCCCAGGGACCUCCGGAAAGAGACACCAUUGGUUGCAGGCCUCCAGGUUCUCGUCUGCCUGGUCAAGAAAGGCACAAAAAGGACCAACAAAUAAUACUGACAUGGUGCUUUGGAUCCAGGAGGCCUUGCGGUACCAGGAGAGGAAUACUGAUGGUUCCACCUGGCGAAUGGGAAAGGUGAGGCAUUGAGAGGGUGAAAUGCUUUCAGGCAUAGGUGAGGGGGUACCAGGAAAUUUAAGGGGGAGACUCUUUUUCCUGGGGGCAGGUGGAGAAGGUACACGGCCAUUGAUAGUGAACACAACUCUCAACAAAGGCAAUUCCAGCUCUUCGGCCACCACAGUAAAGCAGCUAAGGAUACCCUAAUUGUCCUCAGAGAAGUAGAGAUGAUUCAUUCACAGAGGGAAUCCUACACUCCAAACUCUCUGGGGCCCACCCUUGAGACGGCAUGCAGGGCUGGAGAUUUAGGCAGGAACAGCCUGGGCAGGCACGUAAGGUAGCUCUGCUUCUUAAGGCAUGACUGCUGUCUUCAUGGAGUGGGCCCCACCCUGCAAGGAAGCUUAAUGGAAUGGAACACUGCUCCCAAAGGAAUCCAGCCCCUCCAGGGGCUGGGGGUUUCUAUUAAAGCUAAACAGCAUCACCAAACCAACCAAUUUCCUGUGCCACUUGGUAGAAUAAGGAGGGAGGGGGCAAAGGACGAAAAUUGAACAUUAUCUGCAGAUGACUGUCUAACUAGAAAACCCAAGGGACUGAACUGGAAAACUAUCAAAACUGGUGAGAAUUUGCUCAGGUGGCCGAUUAAAAGUCAGGUCUAAAAAAUCAACUGCUUUUUGGAUCAUUUGGGCGUGGCUUGACACCUUGGAGGAGCUGUGUUUCUCUGGGAGGACUCCGCAUUUGUGCAACUUGCCAUAUUUUGAAAGAUGGAGGUGAGCCAGGGUGAUGUUCCCUCAGCAGUAGCAACACUGUCUCAGACACCAAUGUCGAACAGGUGCCUGGGGCAACUGCUGCAGAAGGGGUGGGGACAACCACCUCUGCCCUCUCCUGGGGGGCCCUCUCACCAGUCCUGAUCAGCCCCUUUCCCCCAAGCUUCUCUAUUCCAGCCCAAGAGACACAUAGCGAAGUUUGGCAAGGGUCGGUGCGGGAGCCAUCAAGGGUGGAUGUGGGCAGAUUGUGCUGUCAUCUCCAAAUGAAGUAAGUUUUAAAAACAAAGGGGGCCAGCUGACAGGUCCCACACGUCUGUACUGUUGUUGCCUCAUUGGUCAGAAGCCUCGAGAGGCCACCGCGCUGCGGACCGAGCGGGGACUCCCACGAUGGUCAGUGGUCGAGGGAGGCCCCAGGGGGCUGUGCGUGCCAAUCUGGCUGGCGAAGAGCCGCAGUUAUUUGCGGUCCAGGCUGGCGUGUAGCUGGGCCUCCCGCACCAUGCGGUC
rnacentral:lncRNA from 1 species